UGAGACAGCUGCCUCCAACGGUAAUGGAGAAACUUGGGUUUGGCUAACUGUAUAUGGACUUGCUUCUGACUGGCUUCUGUCCUUUUUAGUAGAUUCGGAUAAAAUAUACCCUUCUCAGAUCUCUGAAAUAUUACUGGUUGUCAGCUUGACAGCAUCAGACAGUCAGAUCCACUAUAGACUAGUCAGUAUGUUAGCUGAUAAAAUAAUGACUAUCUACUGUUCAGGCACAAGCUCAAGGUUUUUAAGUUUAUUUUGGUUGUCAUUUAAGUACAAACUUAAAGGGCUUUUCAUCAGGCCAAAGGCACCCCUGUCCAAUCCAUACUUAGCUCUCUGGACAGAAGAAAUAUACAUGCUUAUAGCUCAAAUCUGUAGUUCUUGCUAGGACUCAAAGUUAUAAAUAUGUUCUUGCUGUUUGAACAGAUAUCCAGAUAUCUGCUUUCUCUGCACUGUGGGCUUCAAUAAAUAAGUUUUAACCUCUGUUCCCAGUUUAAAUAUGUCUUAAACAGGUUUCUGCUUCUGACAGACAUCUGAAUAUCAGUUGCGGACUACAGGCUGUUCUAAGUAGACUGCGAGCCCUGGACUUGCUAUGGAUAUGAACCAGUCUGCUGAUAUGGACACCCCCUAUCUCUGCAACAGUGUCUGCUAACCAGAAGCCCCUGAUGGAUUCCCCAUUGCCUAAAUUCCUUUUUGCUUUUGACUAGCAUUUCAACCUUCUGGGGUCCCUAACUUCGUCCCAAAGUCAGCAGGAAGCAGUUUGGAAAGAAAUUUCGCCGUCCAUUUUCCCUGGUUAGAAUGCUAAGUCAAAAGGAACUCCCUUGCAUGGGGAUGCGAAACGACAGGGGAUGCUCACUGGAAGCCUUCAUCCUCAUGGGACAAGAUUCAGGUAACCAGAGGAUGGCAAAAGGGCUCCACCGGUACCACCUCUAUGCCUCUCCUUAUUUCCUUUACAGCGUAUUAGGGAAAUCAACCCGAUAUAAGAGGGAGCCAAUAUCCUUUACCGUGGCCCUAUUAUAAGGAGGGAUAACAGUGGGGGCCAUAGCAGCCGGCAUAGGGAAUUAAUCAUUUUAAGCUUCUACAACAAGCCAUGCACACAGAUAUCCAGGUCCUAAAAGAGUCAGUCAAUGCACUCGAGAAAUCCUUAACAUCACUCUCUGAGGUAGUCCUAUAACAGACCAUACAGGAAUAGUUAGAGGCAGCAUGGCCAAGCUAAGAGAAAGACCUAACCAGAGACCUCUGAAUGGAAGAUUCCAUUCAGUUACAAGAGAAAUGGGGGAAUGAAAGACCCGCUCGAAAUGCCCCUGAGCCCCCUGCCCCGAAGCUGCCGGAGCCUCCCAAGCCUUCACCCCGGCAGGGCUCGCGCCCCCGGCCCGCCCCGCCUGGCACCACACCUCGGGGCUGGGGCCGAGCAACGAGCACCAGGUGGGCAGGCCCGAGAAUGAGCACCGGGUGGGCCGGCACGAGGGCGAGCACCAGGUGGGUCGGCACGAGAACAAACACCGAGUGAGCCGGCCUGGAGCCCUGCCCCUGAGCCCCCGCCCGAAGAGAAACACUCCGUCCCAAGGUCUCCGCCCCCAAGGUCAGCCAUCAGGAAGGGGGGGGGAAUUGAGUCUGCUGUACCAGACACCAGACACCAGACCUUGAGAAUAUGCUGAUCUGGAAUGGCUCUGUGUCUUAUUUGAACCAUCCAAUAGAAAUGAUUCUGUAUUUCGCCUCAUUUGAAAGACUCUAUGUUUCACCUCAUUUGAAUAACUCUGUACUUUGCCUCAUUUGAAUAACCCUGUAUAGCGCCUCAUAUACAUUGACCAAUGGGAAUAGCUCUGUAUAAUGCCUCAUUAGAAUUAUCCAAUAGAAUCCCUACUCCUAGCUUGCGCCUUUUUCCCUAUAUAAGGACCCCUUUCCCUUGGCUCGAGGCGCUUAGCCACACAAAGGCUAAGUGGCCCCGGGUACCCGCGUCUCCAAUAAAGCCUCUUGUUUUUUGCAUCCAGUUCGUGGCCUCGCUGAUUCCUGGGUGUGUGGGUCUCCCUCUACGAAAGUGUCUCUUCGGG
rnacentral:lncRNA from 1 species